rnacentral:rRNA from 1 species
AACGAACGCUGGCGGCAUGCCUAACACAUGCAAGUCGAACGAAACCUCCGGGUUUGGUGGCGCACGGGUGCGUAACGCGUUGGGACCCGCGCUUAUGUACGGAAUAACUCCCCGAAAGGGGUUCUAAUACCGGAUAAUAUUAUCGGACCAAAGAUCUAUCGCCUUUGGCUGGGCCCGCGUUGGAUUGGGUAGUUGGUAGGGUAUAAGGCUACCAAGACGACGAUCCGUGGCUGGACUGAGAGGAUGAUCAGCCACACUGGGACUGAGACACGACCCAGACUCCUACGGGAGGUAGCGGUGGGGAAUAAUGGGCAGGGGGCGAGAGGCUGAAACGGCGAGGGCGCGUGGGUGAUGAAGGCCUUAGGGUUGUAAAGCUCUUUUGCCCGGGAUGAGAAUGACAGUACCGGGAGAAGAAGCACCGGCUAACUACGUG